rnacentral:rRNA from 1 species
GACGAACGCUGGCGGCGUGCCUAAUACAUGCAAGUAGAACGCUGAAGGAGGAGCUUGCUUCUCUGGAUGAGUUGCGAACGGGUGAGUAACGCGUAGGUAACCUGCCUGGUGGCGGGGGAUAACUAUUGGAAACGAUAGCUAAUACCGCAUAAUAGUAGAUGUUGCAUGACAUUUGCUUAAAAGGUGCAAUUGCAUCACUACCAGAUGGACCUGCGUUGUAUUAGCUAGUUGGUGGGGUAACGGCUCACCAAGGCGACGAUACAUAGCCGACCUGAGAGGGUGAUCGGCCACACUGGGACUGAGACACGGCCCAGACUCCUACGGGAGGCAGCAGUGGGGAAUAUUGCACAAUAGGCGGAAGCCUGAUGCAGCAACGCCGCGUGAGUGAAGAAGGUUUUCGGAUCGUAAAGCUCUGUUGUAAGAGAAGAACGAGUGUGAGAGUGGAAAGUUCACACUGUGACGGUAUCUUACCAGAAAGGGACGGCUAACUACGUG